GGCGACUGAACGGUGUAGUGGUUAGUGACUCUGACUGCUAUGCCGAAGGUCCCGGGUUCGAUCCCCGGCCGCGCCA
rnacentral:tRNA from 1 species